CGUAACACGUAGGCAACCUGCCCGAAAGACCGGGAUAACGUUCCGAAAGGGGCGCUAAUACCGGAUGUGACCACUCUUUCACAUGGAGGAGUGUUUAAAUCAUUUAUGGCUUUCGGAGGGGCCUGCGGCCUAUCAGCUAGAUGGCGAGGUAAUAGCUCACCAUGGCGACGACGGGUAGCUGGUCUGAGAGGAUGGUCAGCCGGACUGGGACUGAGAUACGGCCCAG
rnacentral:rRNA from 1 species